CCUACGGGAGGCUGCAGUGGGGAAUAUUGCACAAUGGGGGAAACCCUGAUGCAGCGACGCCGCGUGAGCGAUGACGUAUUUCGGGAUUUAAAGCUCUAUCAGCAGGGGAGUAAAUGACGGUACCUGACUCAGAAGCCCCGGCUAACUACGGUACAGCGGCCGGGGUAACACGUAGGGGGCGAGCGUGAUCCGGAUUCACUGGGUGUAAAGGGGGCGUAGACGGCCAGGCAAGCCAGUGGUGAAGGCCUGGGGCCCAACCUCAGGACUGCCCUUGGAACUGUGCGGCUAGAGUGCGGGAGGGGCAGGCGGAAUUCGUGGUGUAGCGGUGAAAUGCUUAGAUAUCAGGAGGAACACCGACGGCGAAGGCAGCCUGCUGGACUGCGACUGACGUUGAGGCUCGAAAGCGUGGGGAGCGAACAGGAUUAGAUACCCGGGUAGUC
rnacentral:rRNA from 1 species